rnacentral:lncRNA from 1 species
UGCCCACACUUGGCAUACAUAUCAAUCAGAGCAGUUCCUACAUAUUUAUUGCCACCAAGGUUAGCUUUAACUACAUGGGCAUGCACUUGCUUCCCGAGAGUGGCAUCUAAGAGGCUUGCACAAGAUCUAAAAUUGCUGAUAAACGUGUACAUAUUUGGCCUCAAACCUUUUCCCAAGAGUGGCAUCGAAGAGGCUUGCACAAGAUCUCAAAUUGCUGAUGAACGUGUACAUAUUUGGCCUCAAACCUUCCACAAGCAAGUUCCUGAAGAUUCUAGGUCCUUC